GACAGAGGGUGCGAACGUUGUUCGGAAUUACUGGGCGUAAAGCGCAUGUAGGCGGCAGCGCAAGUCGGGCGUGAAAUCCCACGGCUCAACCGUGGAAGUGCACUCGAAACUGCGCAGCUAGAGUCCUGGAGAGGAAGGUGGAAUGCUUGGUGUAGAGGUGAAGUUCGUAGAUAUCAAGCGGAACACCGGUGGCGAAGGCGGCCUUCUGGACAGUGACUGACGCUGAGAUGCGAAAGCGUGGGGAGCAAACAGG
rnacentral:rRNA from 1 species